rnacentral:misc_RNA from 1 species
AACCAUAGAAACCUGCGGAGUACCUGCGGAAGGAUCAUUACACAAUAAACAUAUGAAGGCUGCACCGCCAACAGGCGGCAAGGCUGGAGUAUUUUAUUACCCUUGUCUUUUGCGCACUUGUUGUUUCCUGGGCGGGUUCGCCCGCCUCCAGGACCACAUGAUAAACCUUUUUUAUGCAGUUGCAAUCAGCGUCAGUACAACAAAUGUAAAUCAUUUACAACUUUCAACAAUGGAUCUCAG